UACGUAGGGUGCAAGCGUUGUCCGGAAUUAUUGGGCGUAAAGAGCUCGUAGGUGGCCUGUCGCGUCGGCUGUGAAAACUCGGGGCUCAACUCCGAGCUUGCAGUCGAUACGGGCAGGCUAGAGUUCGGCAGGGGAGACUGGAAUUCCUGGUGUAGCGGUGAAAUGCGCAGAUAUCAGGAGAAACACCGGUGGCGAAGGCGGGUCUCUGGGCCGAUACUGACACUGAGGAGCGAAAGCGUGGGGAGCGAACAGG
rnacentral:rRNA from 1 species